rnacentral:rRNA from 1 species
GACGAACGCUGGCGGCGUGCUUAACACAUGCAAGUCGAACGAAGUGGCGGACGGGUGAGUAACGCGUAAUCAACCUGCCCUUCAGAGGGGGAUAACACUUGGAAACAGGUGCUAAUACCGCAUACUGAUGGAUGGACCCGCGGUGCAUUAGCGAGUUGGUGAGGUAACGGCUCACCAAGGCCACGAUGCAUAGCCGACCUGAGAGGGUGGUCCGCCACACUGGGACUGAGGCACUGCCCAAACUCCUACGGGAGGGAGCAGUAGGGAAUCUUCCGCAAUGGACGAAAGUCUGGCGAAGCAACGCCGCGUGAGUGAUGACGGCCUUCGGGUUGUAAAGCUCUGUUAAUCGGGACGCGGUACCGGAAUAGAAAGCCACGGCUAACUACGUGCCAGCAGCCGCGGUAAUUC